CCAAAGAUAGUUAUUGCUGAUCACAACGACGCACCACCAUGAAGUAGAACGGGCAUGAUUCAUGUGUAGACGAACUUCGAAGUCCCAUCCCACCGAGAAAGGCUUUCUCAUGCUUAAUGGUCCAUCUACCCCUAUCCCACCCCCUCCUCCAAAUAGGAAUUGCAGUAACACAUACUCUACCUAACAUAAAUUACUAAUGACAUCAAAAUAAAUCACUAAUGACAUCAAUGUCUAACAAAUGAAAAAAGUACACGCAUCUUUCAAAAUAGAAACAUCGCCCACUACAAAAAAACACUACUAUCUUACAGUACUAAACAUCACACUAAGUACUUAAAAACUACCACUACAACUAUACAUCAACAUAACUAACUACAACUACUACUAACACCUAACUAGACUACCACCAUACUCUAACCACAUACAAACAAGCAAUAUGACGCAGCUAAAUUACCUAAAAAUAUGACAAACAAAUAAAGGGCAAAAAAGCAUACCUUUGGGGGUGGAGUUGCACGCCGACGAGGGUGGAGGCAUCGUCAGGUGGCGCCCGAGGAGGAGGAAGCGGCAACUAUUGUAGAGGAGGAGGAGGACGAAGUGGUGGAGGCCUCCAUGGAGCCGAUGUUGUCGGGGAGAGCGAGGAUGUGUUUGCACAUUCUAUUAGGGUAGGCAAUGGUACGCAUAAUGUUGGGCGACGACUCUUUAGUGUUCGAGAAGAAGAGGUAAGAAAUAAUGGAGCCCCGUUCGAGUGGCAAUUUCGUAGUGGAGCUCAAGCUAUCAUGGACAGGUGAUACAUCCUAAAUGUAUUUAUAAAUUUUCACAUAUCAAGACAUUUUUUCAUAAAAAUAUUUAAGACCCUGUUAAAAUAAAAAAGUAUUUCUAAAAAUUAUUAAGUAUGUUGUUUUAAAAUGUUAAUCAUGUAUUAAAAAAAGGGAUAUAAAUGUUCUUUUAUAUUUUUCUGAAGGUCACAUAUUUUUAAAAUACACAAUGUCCUUUUUUGAAAUAUAAGCUGAACAUUUUUUAAGAAAUGGUUAACAUUUUAUAAAUUCUCAAUGAACAAUUUGUAAAUACACGACGGACAGUUUUUAAUACAUGACAAACAAUUUUGAAACAAGCGUGAAUGCUAUGCGAUCAACCUUCUAUAAAUACAUGUUGAACAAUCUUUGAAUACACGUUGAAUAAUUUUAAAAAUACAGGUCAUUUUUUCUUCAAAAUACAACACGAGCUCAUUUUAAAUACACAAUGAACAUUGCUGGAAAUCAUUAUGAACAUUUUUGCUAUACAUGAUGAACAAAAAAAGAAAAAAAAAGAAUUUUUUUUGAAAAGAAAGUAAAAUAAAAGAGAAAAUAAAAAAAUCGUUAACAGAGAAAAUAGAGAAAAGAAAAAAGACUUAAUAGCAAAGAAGAAAUAUGCUCAUGACAUGGACAAAUUUAUUUGCGCUAUUUUUGAAAAAAGUUCAGCGCGUCUUUAAAAAAUUUCACUGUGUAUUUAAAAUAUAUUUAAUGUGCAUUUUAUAAAUAUUGAACAUGUAUUCAGACAAAAAUGUUCAACAUGCAUUUAACAAAUAUUCAAUGUGAUCCCUGGUGUACAAAAAAUGUUCAAUGUGUAUAAAAAAAGUUGACACAUAUUUCCAAAAAGAAAAAACCUAUAAAGUAAACACAGAAAAAAAAACCGUGCAGAACCUUCACAGAACUGGCCAAAACCGUUUGAAGGUUUUCAUGAACCGGUCUUGCAUGCGAAAUGUGGUUAGCAAACUAUAAAUUCAAAAAUAAAAUGAAAUGGUGCAGUCCAUGAUCCCCGAUUCCCACUCCCGUCUUUGAUCGACGAAACGGUUUUCACGCCUGGCGGUAGGUACGCACGGACAGACGCCCGUGACCAGAAGCGCCGAGCAUUGGCCGCGCCAUGCCCCCACACCAACGCCAUCCUGCAAUAAUCUGAGCACUAUAUGUCGUACGUACAGCGGUUCCGUUGCAUUAUUUGCAGGUUGAUGAUGCCGCCGGUCGAUCCAGAUGCGACGACGCAACAGCCAGCUCUCCGUGGCAAGCAGGCAGCGGAGGAGAACCAAUAAUGGGGGCGAGCAAGCUAUUCCGGGCGUUCCUGGCCGGCGUCCUCCUCCUCCUGCUCGUCGUCGCCGCGCAGCUCGCCGCCGCCCAGCACAUCAGCUACUUCCCGGAUAGGCCGGCGUGCCCGAACCAGUGCGGGGCGCCGGGGCAGUCCUACACCAGGGGCUGCACGUACAAGGACCGGUGCCCGCACUGAGCUCAGGGCGGCCUGUGCGCUUUAUGUGCACAAACACAACCCAGGUGGUUCUUUUCUUUUCUUUCUGAAUAAGCUGUGUGCGCAAGUGAUCAAAUCCGCACUGGUGAAUUUCUCCAUCGUAAGUACGGUACAUGUAUUUGUGCUUGAUUUCGGAAGCUGCGAUCAUUUUCUGUUGGUCGAAGCUCUGGAACUUUGCAUUCGAUUUUCGAAAGUUGCAACUCAUUUGUA